GUUAGCGGCGGACGGGUGAGUAACACGUGGGUAACCUGCCUGUAAGACUGGGAUAACUCCGGGAAACCGGAGCUAAUACCGGAUAGUUCCUUGAACCGCAUGGUUCAAGGAUGAAAGACGGUUUCGGCUGUCACUUACAGAUGGACCCGCGGCGCAUUAGCUAGUUGGUGAGGUAACGGCUCACCAAGGCGACGAUGCGUAGCCGACCUGAGAGGGUGAUCGGCCACACUGGGACUGAGACACGGCCCAGACUCCUACGGGAGGCAGCAGUAGGGAAUCUUCCGCAAUGGACGAAAGUCUGACGGAGCAACGCCGCGUGAGUGAUGAAGGUUUUCGGAUCGUAAAGCUCUGUUGUUAGGGAAGAACAAGUGCAAGAGUAACUGCUUGCACCUUGACGGUACCUAACCAGAAAGCCACGGCUAACUACGUGCCAGCAGCCGCGGUAAUACGUAGGUGGCAAGCGUUGUCCGGAAUUAUUGGGCGUAAAGGGCUCGCAGGCGGUUUCUUAAGUCUGAUGUGAAAGCCCCCGGCUCAACCGGGGAGGGUCAUUGGAAACUGGGAAACUUGAGUG
rnacentral:rRNA from 1 species